GCCCUAAGUGGUCAACCAAAACGGAUUUAGGUCAAACUCGCUUGCUCCCCACCCUACUCCGUUGGCCGCAGGUUCGAGUCCUGCCAGGGGCA
rnacentral:tRNA from 1 species